GGGGCCGUGUGAGAAUUGGGAAGUCAACUACCCUGUCACGGUAGAGAAUGCGGGUUCGAUCCCCGUCGGUCCCGCCA
rnacentral:tRNA from 1 species